rnacentral:rRNA from 1 species
AGUGAACGCUGGCGGUAGGCCUAACACAUGCAAGUCGAACGGCAGCACAGUAAGAGCUUGCUCUUACGGGUGGCGAGUGGCGGACGGGUGAGGAAUACAUCGGAAUCUACUUUUUCGUGGGGGAUAACGUAGGGAAACUUACGCUAAUACCGCAUACGACCUACGGGUGAAAGCAGGGAUCUUCGGAACUUGCGCGGUUGAAUGAGCCGAUGUCGGAUUAGCUAGUUGGCGGGGUAAAGGCCCACCAAGGCGACGAUCCGUAGCUGGUCUGAGAGGAUGAUCAGCCACACUGGACCUGAGACACGGUCCAGACUCCUACGGGAGGCAGCAGUGGGGAAUAUUGGCCAGUGGGCGCAAGCCUGAUCCAGCCAUACCGCGUGGGUGAAGAAGGCCUUCGGGUUGUAAAGCCCUUUUGUUGGGAAAGAAAAGCAGCAGGUUAAUACCCCGCUGUUCUGACGGUACCCAAAGAAUAAGCACCGGCUAACUUCGU